GAUGAACGCUGGCGGCGUGCCUAAUACAUGCAAGUCGAGCGAACGGACGAGAAGCUUGCUUCUCUGAUGUUAGCGGCGGACGGGUGAGUAACACGUGGAUAACCUACCUAUAAGACUGGGAUAACUUCGGGAAACCGGAACUAAUACCGGAUAAUAUUUUGAACCGCAUGGUUCAAAAGUGAAGGACGGUCUUGCUGUCACUUAUAGAUGGAUCCGCGCUGCAUUAGCUAGUUGGUAAGGUAACGGCUUACCAAGGCAACGAUGCAUAGCGACCUGAGAGGGUGAUCGGCCACACUGAACUGAGACACGGUCCAGACUCCUACGGGAGGCAGCAGUAGGGAAUCUUCCGCAAUGGGCGAAAGCCUGACGGAGCAACGCCGCGUGAGUGAUGAAGGUCUUCGGAUCGUAAAACUCUGUUAUUAGGGAAGAACAUAUGUGUAAGUAACUGUGCACAUCUUGACGGUACCUAAUCAGAAAGCCACGGCUAACUACGUG
rnacentral:rRNA from 1 species